CGGAACACGUACAGAACCUUCCUUUAAGCGGGGGAUAGCCCAUAGAAAUGUGGAUUAAUACCCCAUAGUAAUAUUGAUUGGCAUCAAUUGAUAUUUAAAGAUUUAUCACUUAAAGAUGGCUGUGCGGCUGAUUAGGUAGUUGGUGUGGGUAACGGCCCACCAAGCCAGCGAUGGGUAACUGGUGUGAGAGCACGACCAGUCACACGGGCACUGAGACACGGGCCCG
rnacentral:rRNA from 1 species